rnacentral:rRNA from 1 species
CCUACGGGAGGCAGCAGUGAGGAAUAUUGGUCAAUGGGCGAGAGCCUGAACCAGCCAAGUCGCGUGAGGGAGUACUGCCCUAUGGGUUGUAAACCUCUUUUGUCGGGGAGCAAAAGCCGGACGUGUCCGGCUGUGAGAGUACCCGAAGAAAAAGCAUCGGCUAACUCCGUGCCAGCAGCCGCGGUAAUACGGAGGAUGCGAGCGUUAUCCGGAUUUAUUGGGGUUAAAUGGUGCGCAGGCGGAUUUUUAAGUCAGCGGUCAAAUCGUGGGGCUCAACCCCAUCCAGCCGUUGAAACUGGGGAUCUAGAGUGUGCGAGAGGUAUGCGGAAUGCGUGGUGUAGCGGUGAAAUGCAUAGAUAUCACGCAGAACCCCGAUUGCGAAGGCAGCAUACCGGUGCACAACUGACGCUCAGGCACGAAAGCGUGGGUAUCGAACAGGAUUAGAUACCCCAGUAGUC